UGGCAAGCGUUAUCCGGAUUUAUUGGGCGUAAAGGGAGCGUAGACGGCGAUGCAAGUCUGAAGUGAAAGGCGGGGGCCCAACCCCCGGACUGCUUUGGGAACUGUAUGGCUGGAGUGCAGGAGAGGUAAGUGGAAUUCCUAGUGUAGCGGUGAAAUGCGUAGAUAUUAGGAGGAACACCAGCGGCGAAGGCGGCUUACUGGACUGUAACUGACGUUGAGGCUCGAAAGCGUGGGGAGCAAAC
rnacentral:rRNA from 1 species